rnacentral:rRNA from 1 species
AGUGAACGCUGGCGGUAGGCCUAACACAUGCAAGUCGAACGGCAGCACAGUAAGAGCUUGCUCUUACGGGUGGCGAGUGGCGGACGGGUGAGGAAUACAUCGGAAUCUACUUUUUCGUGGGGGAUAACGUAGGGAAACUUACGCUAAUACCGCAUACGACCUACGGGUGAAAGCAGGGGAUCUUCGGACCUUGCGCGAUUGAAUGAGCCGAUGUCGGAUUAGCUAGUUGGCGGGGUAAAGGCCCACCAAGGCGACGAUCCGCAGCUGGUCUGAGAGGAUGAUAAGCCACACUGGAACUGAGACACGGUCCAGACUCCUACGGGAGGCAGCAGUGGGGAAUAUUGGACAAUGGGCGCAAGCCUGAUCCAGCCAUACCGCGUGGGUGAAGAAGGCCUUCGGGUUGUAAAGCCCUUUUGUUGGGAAAGAAAAGCAGCAGGUUAAUACCCCGCUGUUCUGACGGUACCCAAAGAAUAAGCACCGGCUAACUUCGUG